rnacentral:misc_RNA from 1 species
AAAGGCGCUGAAUAAAUCUUUUGAAUUCUCUCUUUCCUCUUUUUUUUUUCCUUUUGGCAAUGCAAUUUGUUCAAUGAGGAUGUUUUUGAAAUAAUUUUCGUUUUCUUGGUUUAGUUUGUAUCUUUUUCUCCUUUCUCAUCGGAGUUUCUCCGACUGAAAUGGGAUGGAAGAUGCAAGGGUCAAUUUUAUAACUAUUGAACAUUUUCUUGGUAUCAAAUGUGAAACUAUGUCGUUUUAAAUUAUUUUUAUGGGUGCUACGAAUGAAUGAUGG